GAGAGCUACGUGACGCGGAAACGGUCAUGCGUAGUUCGGAGGGGGCGUUGGAAAAGUACUGACAAGAGCAACUCGCUGGCGGCCUACCCAAC
rnacentral:ncRNA from 1 species